AACGGGAGGCUGCAGUAGGGAAUCUUCCACAAUGGGCGAAAGCCUGAUGGAGCAACGCCGCGUGUGUGAUGAAGGCUUUCGGGUCGUAAAGCACUGUUGUAUGGGAAGAACAGCUAGAAUAGGAAAUGAUUUUAGUUUGACGGUACCAUACCAGAAAGGGACGGCUAAAUACGUGCCAGCAGCCGCGGUAAUACGUAUGUCCCGAGCGUUAUCCGGAUUUAUUGGGCGUAAAGCGAGCGCAGACGGUUUAUUAAGUCUGAUGUGAAAGCCCGGAGCUCAACUCCGGAAUGGCAUUGGAAACUGGUUAACUUGAGUGCAGUAGAGGUAAGUGGAACUCCAUGUGUAGCGGUGGAAUGCGUAGAUAUAUGGAAGAACACCAGUGGCGAAGGCGGCUUACUGGACUGCAACUGACGUUGAGGCUCGAAAGUGUGGGUAGCAAACAGGAUUAGAUACCCUGGUAGUCCACACCGUAAACGAUGAACACUAGGUGUUAGGAGGUUUCCGCCUCUUAGUGCCGAAGCUAACGCAUUAAGUGUUCCGCCUGGGGAGUACGACCGCAAGGUUGAAACUCAAAGGAAUUGACGGGGACCCGCACAAGCGGUGGAGCAUGUGGUUUAAUUCGAAGCAACGCGAAGAACCUUACCAGGUCUUGACAUCCUUUGAAGCUUUUAGAGAUAGAAGUGUUCUCUUCGGAGACAAAGUGACAGGUGGUGCAUGGUCGUCGUCAGCUCGUGUCGUGAGAUGUUGGGUUAAGUCCCGCAACGAGCGCAACCCUUAUUGUUAGUUGCCAGCAUUCAGAUGGGCACUCUAGCGAGACUGCCGGUGACAAACCGGAGGAAGGCGGGGACGACGUCAGAUCAUCAUGCCCCUUAUGACCUGGGCUACACACGUGCUACAAUGGCGUAUACAACGAGUUGCCAACCCGCGAGGGUGAGCUAAUCUCUUAAAGUACGUCUCAGUUCGGAUUGUAGUCUGCAACUCGACUACAUGAAGUCGGAAUCGCUAGUAAUCGCGGAUCAGCACGCCGCGGUGAAUACGUUCCCGGGUCUUGUACACACCGCCCGUCACACCAUGGGAGUUUGUAAUGCCC
rnacentral:rRNA from 1 species